GACGAACGCUGGCGGCGUGCCUAAUACAUGCAAGUCGAGCGGACCACUUCGGUGGUCAGCGGCGGACGGGUGAGUAACACGUGGGCAACCUGCCUGUAAGACUGGGAUAACACCGGGAAACCGGUGCUAAUACCGGAUAAUCCUUUCCUUCACAUGAGGGAAAGCUGAAAGACGGUUUCGGCUGUCACUUACAGAUGGGCCCGCGGCGCAUUAGCUAGUUGGUGAGGUAACGGCUCACCAAGGCAACGAUGCGUAGCCGACCUGAGAGGGUGAUCGGCCACACUGGGACUGAGACACGGCCCAGACUCCUACGGGAGGCAGCAGUAGGGAAUCUUCCGCAAUGGACGAAAGUCUGACGGAGCAACGCCGCGUGAGCGAUGAAGGCCUUCGGGUCGUAAAGCUCUGUUGUCAGGGAGGAACAAGUACCGGAGUAACUGCCGGUACCUUGACGGUACCUGACCAGAAAGCCACGGCUAACUACGUGCCAGCCGCCGCGGUAAAAC
rnacentral:rRNA from 1 species